rnacentral:rRNA from 1 species
CGUAGGUGGCAAGCGUUGUCCGGAUUUAUUGGGCGUAAAGCGAGCGCAGGCGGUUCCUUAAGUCUGAUGUGAAAGCCCACGGCUCAACCGUGGAAGGUCAUUGGAAACUGGGGAACUUGAGUGCAGAAGAGGAGAGUGGAAUUCCAUGUGUAGCGGUGAAAUGCGUAGAUAUAUGGAGGAACACCAGUGGCGAAGGCGACUCUCUGGUCUGUAACUGACGCUGAGGCUCGAAAGCGUGGGAGCAAACAGGAUU